GAUGAACGCUGGCGGCGUGCUUAACACAUGCAAGUCGAACGGGAAUUCUUUUAUUGAACCUUCGGUCGAUUUAAUUUAAUUCUAGUGGCGGACGGGUGAGUAACGCGUGGGUAACCUGCCUUAUACAGGGGGAUAACAGUCAGAAAUGGCUGCUAAUACCGCAUAAGCGCACAGAGCUGCAUGGCUCAGUGUGAAAAACUCCGGUGGUAUAAGUUGGACCCGCGUUGGAUUAGCUGGUUGGUGGGGUAACGGCCCACCAAGGCGACGAUCCAUAGCCGGCCUGAGAGGGUGAACGGCCACAUUGGGACUGAGACACGGCCCAGACUCCUACGGGAGGCAGCAGUGGGGAAUAUUGCACAAUGGGGGAAACCCUGAUGCAGCGACGCCGCGUGAAGGAAGAAGUAUCUCGGUAUGUAAACUUCUAUCAGCAGGGAAGAUAGUGACGGUACCUGACUAAGAAACCCCGGCUAACUACGU
rnacentral:rRNA from 1 species